rnacentral:RNase_P_RNA from 1 species
AGUAUCGGGUAAUUGCGCGUUAUAUUUCUAGCGUGAGGAAGGUCCAUGCUCGCACAACCUGAGAUGGUUGUAGUGAUUGUGCUGGGAUAAAAAAUAAACCCAGGGGCAGUAAAUGCCACGGCGGUCGAAAGGGCUAAGGCUUCUAGCUAUGUCUAAAUAGGCUCGAAGGUGCCAUAGAAACGUAUGCGCUAAUGAAAGUUAGCGUUUGAGACGAGGUAAACCCCACAAGCGGGCAACCCAAACUUUUGGUAGGGGCGGCUAAUCUAGCGAAUUGAAGCGAUGGUUGGUAUGGUUUGAUUACAAACUUAGAUAGAUGAUUACCGAAAGUGAUAUGUACCUGCAUAUCACUGGAACAAAACAUGGCCUAUAGAU